CCUACGGGGGGCAGCAGUGGGGAAUAUUGCACAAUGGGGGAAACCCUGAUGCAGCGACGCCGCGUGAGUGAAGAAGUAUUUCGGUAUGUAAAGCUCUAUCAGCAGGGAAGAAGCAAGACGGUACCUGACUAAGAAGCCCCGGCUAACUACGUGCCAGCAGCCGCGGUAAUACGUAGGGGGCAAGCGUUAUCCGGAUUUACUGGGUGUAAAGGGAGCGUAGACGGUAUGGCAAGCCUGAUGUGAAAGCCCGCGGCCCAACCGCGGGACUGCAUUGGGAACUACCGGGCUGGAGUGCCGGAGAGGUAGGCGGAAUUCCUAGUGUAGCGGUGAAAUGCGUAGAUAUUAGGAGGAACACCAGUGGCGAAGACGGCCUACUGGACGGUGACUGACGCUGAGGCUCGAAAGCGUGGGGAGCAAACAGGAUUAGAUAUCCGAGUAGUC
rnacentral:rRNA from 1 species